UAAGUGGGUUGGCCUAAGCUAGAUCCUGGAA
rnacentral:piRNA from 1 species